GCAUCUUCAACCAGAGAGGCAAGAAAUAUUAAAGAAUGCUUCAUUAUAAUAAAGAAAAGGAUGACCCGUUUUUAAAAAGAAUGGAAUUAUGGGGAUCCAAAUGGAAUUCAAAUAAUCCUGGUUGCGUCCUGCACUCCAGUAUUUUGGAUGCAUUUGGGAAUGCUGUUGGAUCACUCUGGAUUUGCCUUUUCUCUAUAUUCUACCCGACAAGUUUAUAUUCAGCAGUAUCCCUCACACUGUGUGAAAAUUAGCAGUGGUUCAAGGAGGAAAUUUGGGGGUUUAUAUAAAGUAAGUGAUGAAUCUUCUUGGCUUAGAAAUGUGGUUCUUAAAAUAUAAGGCUUAUAGAUCAUUUUGAGAAACUUAUUAAAGUCAAGUAAAAGAAAACAUGCAUACCACAUACACAUUGCAUUUUGCAUUCAGUUCCAGGUCUAGAAAAAUAAGAAGCUUCAGGUCUAGAAUGUCAUUAUGGGAAGAUUUCCAUUUAGGUCUGUUUUAAAAAUAUCCAUAAUAGGUGAGAGGAAAGAAAUAGGAUUCUCACCUUGGGCAGCGAUAUAAUUCCUUUUACUAGUGACCAAUUAAUCCAACCCAUCAGAGUAACAUUUAAUCUUUCUUUUAAGUGGUUUCUAAAAAGGAACAACAGAAAUGGCACUGCUAAGAACUUUACAGAACUGGAAGUAGUAUCAAAGUGGCUCAAAACCAAAUAAAUAUAAUGUAAUAUACACCAAAUUCAAGUUUUAAAGCUACUCAAGCCAGGGAAGCAAAGGAGGAAAUGCUGAUUAUUUGGGGGA
rnacentral:lncRNA from 1 species